rnacentral:misc_RNA from 1 species
UGGUGGUGGCGGUGGCGGUGGUGGAGGCUGUACGCGAGCCGGAAUACUAAUCAAAAGAGGAAGUGGCGGUGGUGGUGGAACUGAAACUGGUGCAUUCUGCUGUAUGUGAUUGCUGAUUCUUAUGGGAGAUUCAACAUUCUGAUCCCAAACAUCGGAAAUUCUGGGUGAUGAGUCAAUACUUCUGCUUGAAUAUCUCUCGGGAGAUGAUGAACUGGGCGGAGAUGGUGAAUCAGAUUCCCCGUUAAUGACCAAUAUAGGUACAAAAUCUGCUAGCGGUGGAGAAUGAUAGUGAGGUAGCGGAGCAGUAGGAAGAGCAAGUAGUUCGGGUGACUUGGGCUGUGAAUUUUUCGGACUCAAACUGACGGGUGGAGAAAUGCUCAGCGAUACACCCGAAUCGGAAGUGGAAGAGGAGCAUGAAGAAGAUGAGGUGGAGGCAGCAAAAUUGUUGGCGUCAACGGCAGCAAAAUCCCUACGCGAAGCCGAUCCAGUUCCGAUGGAACUUCCCCUACCAUCUAAAGAUUGAGUUGGGGAGUAGAACUCGUCAUCAUCUUCAGUUGUAACAUGUGCACUCCUGUGUCCAUGUAAUGGGGGCAACGGGUGGAUCUCUGGUGAGUCCACUUUUGUUGAAGUAGGAGGGGGAGGAUUGUGUGCACUAACCAUAGUACCCAAGUAUAGAAAUUCAGAACUGGUCUGAG